AUUGAACGCUGGCGGCAGGCUUAACACAUGCAAGUCGAGCGGAGAUGAGGUGCUUGCACCUUAUCUUAGCGGCGGACGGGUGAGUAAUGCUUAGGAAUCUGCCUAUUAGUGGGGGACAACAUUCCGAAAGGAAUGCUAAUACCGCAUACGUCCUACGGGAGAAAGCAGGGGAUCUUCGGACCUUGCGCUAAUAGAUGAGCCUAAGUCGGAUUAGCUAGUUGGUGGGGUAAAGGCCUACCAAGGCGGAGAGCUGUAGCGGGUCUGAGAGGAUGAACCGCCACACGCGGACUGAGACACGGCCCAGACUCCGACGGGAGGCAGCAGUGGGGAAUAUUGGACAAUGGGGGGAACCCUGAUCCAGCCAUGCCGCGUGUGUGAAGAAGGCCUUAUGGUUGUAAAGCACUUUAAGCGAGGAGGAGGCUACUGAGACUAACACUCUUGGAUAGUGGACGUUACUCGCAGAAUAAGCACCGGCUAACUCUGUGCCAGCAGCCGCCGCAG
rnacentral:rRNA from 1 species